rnacentral:lncRNA from 1 species
AUGAAGAAAUGCAGAGGAGAGAGAAACCUGGCACAGAGCAAGACUAUCCAAAAGGCUUUCAGACAUCCCUGGAGGCCCCUGCACCUCUGGGUCCUACAUGAGCACAUCGCUGCUAGUUCCUGCAUUUCCCUUCAGCAGCACCAGCUCAAGCCUGGUGGAAUAGUGAAAUGUGAGUCCUUUUGCAAACCACGCGCUGUGAGCAGGCCCGUGUCAUCCACACACCUUCCUGUCUGGCUAGGUCAGGGACAGAAGCACCUGCCUGCCUGCUGGGGACAUUGUCGCCACAAAUCUGUGACUUUCCUGACCCUCAGCAGGUCCUCCAAGUCUCCCGCUGUUCAAACACCACAGGUUGCUGCUCACAGGAUUCUUCUCACAGGACUUUGACCUUCAUUCUCACAGGUUCUUCUCACGGGAUUUUGAUCUUCAUUCCAGAUCUUUCUGGAACUUUCCUCUGGUCUCACAAUAACACCUCCUGUUUUUAAUGCAAUAAACCAUCGAGGAAAGCUG